GGUCUUGUUAGGGGUACCAUAUCUUUUCUCAAUUUGGGACCAUAUACUCUGUGCAGUAUCGGAAUACUGCACACUAUCAGCAAUUUGUGGAGACAGAGAGGAGGUCAACCAAGAGAUGACCAUGUUAUUACACCUAUCCCACAGUCUCUAUUGAGCCACAUUAUUGUUAGGACGAGGACAUGAACCGUCAACAAAUCUGAUUUUAUUUUUAGCAUAUAAGGCAACAAUCAUUUUACGUCUCCAGCCCCCAUAACCAGUACCAGAGAAGGGAGUGGGAAAAAGAGACACCUCAGGGACAUCAGAAGAAUAUACAAAGAGGGGACUGGUAGAAUCUAUCGAAGCAGAGACACCAGUAUUCGUAUUGGAAGCCAUAAUCGCACCAGAUAUUCACAGACAAAACCAAAUAUUCACACACAGAACCAGAUAUUCACACAGAAAAUCAGAUACUCACCUACUGAGCCAGAUAAUCACACAGAUUGCAUACAAUAGUCAAGAUAAGGAAAGAGUUACCCUCCUUCUUCGUGACCAGAGAAGAUCGGCCUUCACGCAAACUCAUAUAUACUUCAUUUAACCCCAUAAGGAAUUGAAAAACCUUGUUUUCAUCAUCUUCCUCAAUUAUCCCAUUUUUGGCAGCACACACACAUAUAUGCCCAUGAUUUGUGCACAUUGUGCCCAAUUCAUCCCACAAGCCUUUGAGCUUGUUGAAGU
rnacentral:lncRNA from 1 species